rnacentral:rRNA from 1 species
AACGAACGCUGGCGGCAUGCCUAACACAUGCAAGUCGAACGAACCCUUCGGGGUGAGUGGCGCACGGGUGCGUAACACGUGGGAACCUGCCCUUAGGUUCGGAAUAACACAGAGAAAUUUGUGCUAAUACCGGAUAAUGUCUUCGGACCAAAGAUUUAUCGCCUUUGGAUGGGCCCGCGUAGGAUUAGCUAGUUGGUGAGGUAAAGGCUCACCAAGGCGACGAUCCUUAGCUGGUCUUAGAGGAUGAUCAGCCACACUGGGACUGAGACACGGCCCAGACUCCUACGGGAGGCAGCAGUGGGGAAUAUUGGACAAUGGGCGAAAGCCUGAUCCAGCAAUGCCGCGUGAGUGAUGAAGGCCUUAGGGUUGUAAAGCUCUUUUACCUGGGAUGAUAAUGACAGUACCAGGAGAAUAAGCCCCGGCUAACUCCGUGCCAGCCGCCGCUGUAACAC